rnacentral:lncRNA from 1 species
UCUAAGCUAACCUAGGGAAACGAACAUGUCCUAAACCUCACCUUAUCCUUAAACAAAGCCCCAACUAUCACCAUUUUCUAUUCCCCAAGAUCUUCCCCACUUUUAGCCUUUUAUCAUUGACCAAAAAGCCUCGAACCACCAUUGCUGGCCAAUACUCAACUAAACUCGUCCAUCCCUCUACCCCUCACUCCAACCCAAUAAAAUGACUCAUCCCUUCACUAAAACCAACCUAGAAAUCCAUCCCAA